CCACCCCUACCUAGAUCAACCCAUUCAACAAUUCAAAAGAAAAAAAUAAACUCGACCCUUCAACGGCUACUCUCUCUCCAAUGUUCUCCCUCAUUCUUCAACCUCAAUUAAAUCCACUAAUCACCCAAAAACACACAACGCUUCAAAAUUCCGGGGGCGUUGUAAGGGAGAAGAAGUUGUCAAAAAUUUUAGUUGGAAUUGCAUUCUCAGAAGGGGUUUUCGGUCGUAUUGUGCAAGGAUGUGGAGUAGUUUAAGUUCAAGUUCAAGUACGAACACUUGUUAUAUGUUACUCGCGCAUCGUGUAAGAAUCCCGCCUAACUCUGACUCCACCUCCCACGUUUUUCUCAACCUCCCACCGACGUCCUUGCUGCGCUGCGAAACCUAACCACCCUCGUCAAAUUUCCCGACGAAUCCGUCUUCUCUCCUCCUCACCUUCAGCACCAUUAACGACUUCCCUAAAUUUCGUCUUCAACCUUUACGUUAGCACAGUCAAAGCUCUCAGUAUAAGCUAUCUCACUCAUCCUAUAAAUUCAUGAAAAAUCCCAAUUAUUGAAUUCAGAAUUCGCCCAACAAAUUCAAGAUAAAUUCGUUGCUCUCUCUGGUUUUUAAUUGGAGAAAUUCAAGCAUCCUCUGGUUUCUUAAUUGCUGCUUCGUCCUCGAUGUUGCCGGAUAUAUUUUCCAGUUUUCAAGUGCAGAUAGUUUGUUGGUUGGACGAUAGUUGGAAAGUGGUGAACGUCUAACUUCUUCUUCCGUGUUGUUACUACUGUAGGUUUCGCCGACCACACCGGUUCAAGGUUUCGUGUGAUUCUUUAGCGUUGUUCGUAGGUUCGUGCAUCAUAUCGUGCGUUGCUACACCAUUCAAGGUUUCCUGCGAGUCUUUAGCGUUGUUCGUAGGUUCGUGCAUCGGUUCGUGCGUUGCAUCUGCUCUUUGAUACUAGAGGUAUGUAUACUAUAAAGUCCGUUUUAGGUUUUUUAUUGGACAAUUGUUAUUUCCCUAAUUUUGUAUGGACAAGGGUGGGCUACAACUCUGCAAGUUAGGUUUGUUAAGUGUUAGAAUAUAAUUCCCGUGGCUUUACAUUUCCUCGAUGUCUAAUAUAUAUACAAUGAGCAUAUACUAACGUUUAUUGUGCUAUCUUAACUUACGUCAAUCAUGCAAAAGUUGGAUCUUUCUAUUGUAUUCCUGUUGAUUUAAUUUCAAAUGUUUUGAUAUAA